rnacentral:miRNA from 1 species
UAUUGAGUUGGCCAAAAAGUUUGUUCAGGUUUUUCUGUAAGAUGUAAUGAAAAACCCAAAUGAACUUUUUGGCCAGCCCAGUA